UUUUUAAACGAGAAGUGCAUCCCAAGCUCUCAGUGAAGGCGGGAGUAGGAGGAGGUGAAAUACAACCUUUAUUUUCCCGACUGCUUAUCAUCCAAUUCCUUGCUUUCCUCUGACUCUCAUGAGUGAUGAGGUCAUCCCAGGGCAGGAAAAUCAAACUCCUAUUUUUCAAACCCAAUAAAGGCCGGCAUUGUUUGUCUGCGUAAACAGGCCGGACGGGUAGGGUGGCAGGAGCACCAGUGGCCCGCCCUCUGGCGGUCGCAUGAGACAGUGGUGCCCUGCGCUCGGCGGAACAGCGACACGGAGGCGGAGAGGGUUCGUGCUAAAAUGACGCAAAGAUCCAUUACUGUGCGCGGCAGGGGAGAGGAUGCUGCAAGGAGCUGAUGCAUGUCACAUUAUAGCCUCGUCGGCUUGCCCCGGACUUACGCAGCCUCGCUCUGCGCGGGCGGGGAGUGGGAGGUACACUCCUGCAGCCGGCGACCCACUGAGCUCUCCAGGGCUCUUUCCCGGGCCUGCCGCCCAAGGAUUCACGCCCGCCUAUUCCUUACCACAGUGGAAUUCUUAGUUUUUAAACAGAGAAUGCCAAAAAGACGAACGAUCACCAGGGGCCCUCUUGGAGAUACAGAGAGCACGAUGGCUCCUUCUAACCUUCAGGGGCCCGACUGCUUGUGGACAAGGGUUCCCAGCCUACCUUCCCGCAAGGAACUGCGUUACCCAGUGCUUGCUCAGACAAUUGUUGCUGUAAAUACCGGCAAUCCACCAAACCCCCGCCUCCCCUUGCCACCCCCACCCCCACCCCCAAGCACGGAUAGGAACGUAUUUACAGCAAGCAGGCUUGUCUGGUUGCAUUCUUUUUAAGGCCUUGGAAUGAAGGGGUGCUCCCUCCACCCCUGAGGUACUGGAGCAACUGGACAUUCUCAGGCCUUUGCCACUGUGGAUGGAAGCCACCUCCCAUAUUUAGAGAAAUGUCCACGCCUAGCAUUUGUGUUAAAGUUGUUAAAUUGUUUCCUGAUUGUGAAAGAUGCUCCAGAAAAAGAGGCAAACCUGGUACAGCACAACUUCCUCGGAAACAGGACAAAAAAUACUUCUGAGGGAAAAAAUAGGCAUUCUUGUCUUUGAUAUGUAUGGAGCAUAUUUUAUAUACAUGUAUUUGUUUUUCCUUGAA